rnacentral:rRNA from 1 species
UGAGAGGAAGGUCCCCCACAUUGGAACUGAGACACGGUCCAAACUCCUACGGGAGGCAGCAGUGAGGAAUAUUGGUCAAUGGGCGCUAGCCUGAACCAGCCAAGUAGCGUGAAGGAUGAAGGCUCUAUGGGUCGUAAACUUCUUUUAUAUAAGAAUAAAGUGCAGUAUGUAUACUGUUUUGUAUGUAUUAUAUGAAUAAGGAUCGGCUAACUCCGUGCCAGCAGCCGCGGUAAUACGGAGGAUCCGAGCGUUAUCCGGAUUUAUUGGGUUUAAAGGGAGCGUAGGUGGACUGGUAAGUCAGUUGUGAAAGUUUGCGGCUCAACCGUAAAAUUGCAGUUGAUACUGUCAGUCUUGAGUACAGUAGAGGUGGGCGGAAUUCGUGGUGUAGCGGUGAAAUGCUUAGAUAUCACGAAGAACUCCGAUUGCGAAGGCAGCUCACUGGACUGCAACUGACACUGAUGCUCGAAAGUGUGGGUAUCAAACAGGAUUAGAUACCCUGGUAGUCCACACAGUAAACGAUGAAUACUCGCUGUUUGCGAUAUACAGUAAGCGGCC